rnacentral:rRNA from 1 species
GAUGAACGCUGGCGGCGUGCCUAAUACAUGCAAGUCGAGCGAACAGACGAGGAGCUUGCUCCUCUGACGUUAGCGGCGGACGGGUGAGUAACACGUGGAUAACCUACCUAUAAGACUGGGAUAACUUCGGGAAACCGGAGCUAAUACCGGAUAAUAUAUUGAACCGCAUGGUUCAAUAGUGAAAGACGGUUUUGCUGUCACUUAUAGAUGGAUCCGCGCCGCAUUAGCUAGUUGGUAAGGUAACGGCUUACCAAGGCGACGAUGCGUAGCCGACCUGAGAGGGUGAUCGGCCACACGGGAACUGAGAAACGGUCCAGACUCCUAGGGGGGGCAGCAGGAGGGAAUCUUCCGCAAUGGGCGAAAGCCUGACGGAGAAACGCCGCGUGAGGAAUGAAGGUUUUCGGGUCGUAAAACUCUGUUAUUGGGGAAAAAAAAAUGUGUAAGUAACUAUGCACGUCUUGACGGUACCAAAACAAAAAGCCACGGCUAACUACGU